AUAAAUUCCAAAACAGCAAUCCAACACUGCUAUGGAAUCCCAUUCAAAAUAUUUCUAUAUUACAGAUCCAUAGUAAAUCGAUUAACUAAUAUCAGGGUGUCCAUGCAUUGUCACUAAAGUUGGGGCGUUUCUGGGGCUGCCUUGGGGGCUGUGGAAAAUGGAGGAGCGACAAGUGCAGCGCUGCGAGAUUACACACAUUUGAGUGGCGUGCUGGAAAGUCUUCUGCAGCCCAACUCCCUCUUUCAGGAAAAGAAUUACAUUUAAUGUGGCCCCAGGGCAGCUGGCAAAGUGUUCUCCGGACUCUAUGGACUCUCUGGGACGUGAACCGAAAUUAUCUAAUUUGCAAAAGUUAUUGCGAUUAAUUGGGCGUAAUUAUUGCGUGUCGUUAGCCGAGGCUAAAUGGCGCCUUUUAUGCAGCCAUCGUAAUUAUUUUCCUCCUUUCUGCAUUUUCCCGGGUUUUCGCCUGCACUCUGCUGACCACUUGUCAAUUUUAAUUGAUUGUUAAUCUGGGAGGAAGCCUGAUCUUGACUCCUCGCCAAUUCCCCUCUUUUCGAUGGGGUUAAUCUUAGUUCUCCGUUCUGGCGUUCUGGAGUUAAUGAACCACUGAUGAUCAAGGAUAAGCACCAGUAUUGUGGACAUGACAAUUAGUUUGAGUUGGCUUCGCUUUUUGUUUCGCUGAGCUCUUUAUUGUGGCGGCAUCUAAAUAUAGACGAUGGGGGCCCAUAAAAAUCAGUAUUGUUUAACACAUACAUAUGUGCAGUCGAAGCUGCCGACUUAACCAAUUGAUUGCGGAUAAUUGCAAAACCUACAUAGCAGAAUAAUGAUGUAAGAACUUUGGAUCAAUGAUUUUAAAUCUGUCUGCUUUUUGAGAUUGUAUUGGCAAAUACAUAAUAUUAAUUUUGAUAAAGCA